UACGAAGGGGGCUAGCGUUGCUCGGAAUUACUGGGCGUAAAGGGCGCGUAGGCGGACAGUUUAGUCAGAGGUGAAAGCCCAGGGCUCAACCUUGGAAUUGCCUUUGAUACUGGCUGUCUUGAGUUCGGGAGAGGUGAGUGGAAUGCCGAGUGUAGAGGUGAAAUUCGUAGAUAUUUGGCGGAACACCAGUGGCGAAGGCGACUCACUGGCCCGAUACUGACGCUGAGGCGCGAAAGCGUGGGGAGCAAACAGG
rnacentral:rRNA from 1 species